rnacentral:rRNA from 1 species
CACCGCGGUUAUACGAGAGGCCCAAGCUGACAGUGGCCGGCGUAAAGAGUGGUUAAUAUUUUUUCAACACUAAGGCCAAACGUCCCCAAAGUUGUAUAACGCAUAUCGGAGACAUGAAGAACACCAACGAAAGUAGCUUUACAUUCCUUGAACCCACGAAAGCUAGGAAA